GAUGAACGUUGGCGGUGUGCCUAAUACAUGCAAGUCGAACGGAGAUCAUAAAGUAGUAAUACCUUGUGAUUCUUAGUGGCGAACGGGUGAGUAACGCGUUGGUGACCUGCCCCGAAGUGUGGAAUAACAAUUCGAAAGAAUUGCUAAUACCGCAUGUGAUUUUAGAGACUAGAUGCUCUUUAAUUAAAGGAUUUAUUCGCUUCGGGAGGGGCCUGCGUCCCAUCAGCUAGUUGGUGAGGUAACAGCUCACCAAGGCGACGACGGGUAGCCGGCCUGAGAGGGUGACCGGCCACACUGGGACUGAGACACGGCCCAGACUCCUACGGGGGCAGCAGUGGGGAUC
rnacentral:rRNA from 1 species